rnacentral:rRNA from 1 species
GAUGAACGCUAGCGGCAGGCUUAACACAUGCAAGUCGAGGGGCAGCGCGGGAUAGCAAUAUCCUGGCGGCGACCGGCGGACGGGUGCGUAACGCGUGAGCGACAUGCCCGUUGCCCGGGGACAACCGGUGGAAACGCCGACUAAUCCCCGAUGGGAUAUUGUGCCGCAUGGCACGAUAUUGAAAGUUACUGCUGCGACGGAUUGGCUCGCGUCCGAUUAGCUGGUUGGCGGGGUAACGGCCCACCAAGGCCGCGAUCGGUAGGGGUUCUGAGAGGAAGGCCCACAACAAAGGGACUGAGACACGGCCCAUACUACUACGGGAGGCAGCAGUGAGGAAUAUUGGUCAAUGGGCGGAAGACUGAACCAGCCAUGCCGCGUGAGGGAAGGAGGCCCUAUGGGCUGUGAACCGCUUUUGCCUGGGGGCAAUAAGGGCGUAGCGCACGUCCGAUGAGAGUACCAGGCGAAUAAGCAUCGGCUAACUCCGUG